rnacentral:rRNA from 1 species
UACCUGGUUGAUCCUGCCAGUAGUCAUAUGCUUGUCUCAAAGAUUAAGCCAUGCAUGUCUAAGUAUAAGCGACUUGUACUGUGAAACUGCGAAUGGCUCAUUAAAUCAGUUAUGGUUUCUUUGAUGGUACCUUGCUACUUGGAUACCCGUAGUAAUUCUAGAGCUAAUACAUGCAGGAAUUCCCGACUUCGGAAGGGAUGUAUUUAUUAGAUAAGAAACCAUCUCGGGUUCGCCCGGUUGUGUGCUGAGUCAUAAUAACUGCUCGAAUCGCAUGGCUCUACGCUGGCGAUGGUUCAUUCAAAUUUCUGCCCUAUCAGCUUUCGAUGGUAGGAUAGAGGCCUACCAUGGCGUUAACGGGUAACGGAGAAUUAGGGUUCGAUUCCGGAGAGGGAGCCUGAGAAAUGGCUACCACAUCCAAGGAAGGCAGCAGGCGCGUAAAUUGCCCGAAUCCUGACACAGGGAGGUAGUGACAAGAAAUAACAAUACAGGGCCAUCUGGUCUUGUAAUUGGAAUGAGUACAAUUUACAUCUCUUCACGAGGAUCAAUUGGAGGGCAAGUCUGGUGCCAGCAGCCGCGGUAAUUCCAGCUCCAAUAGC